CUGUCUCCACCCGAGACUCAGUGAAAUUGAACUCGCUGUGAAGAUGCAGUGUACCCGCGGCAAGACGGAAAGACCCCGUGAACCUUUACUAUAGCUUGACACUGAACAUUGAGCCUUGAUGUGUAGGAUAGGUGGGAGGCUUUGAAGUGUGGACGCCAGUCUGCAUGGAGCCGACCUUGAAAUACCACCCUUUAAUGUUUGAUGUUCUAACGUUGGCCCGUAAUCCGGGUUGCGGACAGUGUCUGGUGGGUAGUUUGACUGGGGCGGUCUCCUCCUAAAGAGUAACGGAGGAGCACGAAGGUUGGCUAAUCCUGGUCGGACAUCAGGAGGUUAGUGCAAUGGCAUAAGCCAGCUUGACUGCGAGCGUGACGGCGCGAGCAGGUGCGAAAGCAGGUCAUAGUGAUCCGGUGGUUCUGAAUGGAAGGGCCAUCGCUCAACGGAUAAAAGGUACUCCGGGGAUAACAGGCUGAUACCGCCCAAGAGUUCAUAUCGACGGCGGUGUUUGGCACCUCGAUGUCGGCUCAUCACAUCCUGGGGCUGAAGUAGGUCCCAAGGGUAUGGCUGUUCGCCAUUUAAAGUGGUACGCGAGCUGGGUUUAGAACGUCGUGAGACAGUUCGGUCCCUAUCUGCCGUGGGCGCUGGAGAACUGAGGGGGGCUGCUCCUAGUACGAGAGGACCGGAGUGGACGCAUCACUGGUGUUCGGGUUGUCAUGCCAAUGGCACUGCCCGGUAGCUAAAUGCGGAAGAGAUAAGUGCUGAAAGCAUCUAAGCACGAAACUUGC
rnacentral:rRNA from 1 species